rnacentral:rRNA from 1 species
UACGUAGGGUGCAAGCGUUGUCCGGAAUUAUUGGGCGUAAAGAGCUCGUAGGCGGUUUGUCGCGUCUGCUGUGAAAACUCGGGGCUUAACCCCGGGCCUGCAGUGGGUACGGGCAGACUAGAGUGCGGUAGGGGAGACUGGAAUUCCUGGUGUAGCGGCGAAAUGCGCAGAUAUCAGGAGGAACACCGGUGGCGAAGGCGGGUCUCUGGGCCGUAACUGACACUGAGGAACGAAAGCCAGGGGAGCAAACGGG